rnacentral:rRNA from 1 species
CACGUAGGGUGCGAGCGUUGUCCGGAAUUAUUGGGCGUAAAGAGCUCGUAGGCGGUGUGUCGCGUCGGCCGUGAAAACCUGCAGCUUAACUGUGGCGUGCGGUCGAUACGGGCAUCACUGGAGUUCGGCAGGGGAGACUGGAAUUCCUGGUGUAGCGGUGAAAUGCGCAGAUAUCAGGAGGAACACCGGUGGCGAAGGCAGGUCUCUGGGCCGAUACUGACGCUGAGGAGCGAAAGCGUGGGGAGCAAACAGG